rnacentral:rRNA from 1 species
ACGAAGGGUGCAAGCGUUACUCGGAAUUACUGGGCGUAAAGCGUGCGUAGGUGGUUUGUUAAGUCUGAUGUGAAAGCCCUGGGUUCAACCUGGGAAUGGCGCUGGAUACUGGCAAGCUAGAGUAUGGCAGAGGGGAGUGGAAUUCCUGGUGUAGCAGUGAAAUGCGUAGAGAUGAGGAGGAACAUCGAUGGCGAAGGCAGCCCCCUGGGACAUGACUGACGCUCAGGUACGAAAGCGUGGGGAGCAAACAG